UUGGAGGGCAAGUCUGGUGCCAGCAGCCGCGGUAAUUCCCGCUCCAAUAGCGUAUAUUGAAGUUGUUGCAGUUAAAAAGCUCGUAGUUGAAUUUCGAGACCGGUUUAUUGGUCGUGCUUUUGUACGUACUGGUAUUAUUGGUUUCUCCUUUCUGACGAAUCUUAAUGCCAUUAAUUUGGUGUUUUGGGGAAUCAGGACUGUUACUUUGAAAAAUUGAGUGUUUAAAGCAGGCUCACGACUUGAAUACAUUAGCAUGGUAUAACGGAAUAGGACGUUUGAUUCUAUUUUGUGGUUUCUAGGAUCGACGUAAU
rnacentral:rRNA from 1 species